rnacentral:rRNA from 1 species
UACGGGGGGGGCAAGCGUUGUUCGGAAUUACUGGGCGUAAAGAGCUCGUAGGCGGUUUGUCGCGUCUGCUGUGAAAACUCGGGGCUUAACCCCGGGCCUGCAGUGGGUACGGGCAGACUAGAGUGCGGUAGGGGAGACUGGAAUUCCUGGUGUAGCGGUGAAAUGCGCAGAUAUCAGGAAGAACACCCGUGGCUAAGGCGGUUCUCUAGUACGGUACUGACGCUGAGACGCGAAAGCGUGGGGAGCGAACAGG